AGGUUCCAGCAGCUCUUCUCCUCUUUGGCUUCAUCAGUCUUCAUUUUUUGUUUUACACUGGAGUUUGCUCUUCUCCUCGUCAUGUAGAUGUCUUCGUUUUUCACCCAGACGUUUCUUACGAGGAAAAAAGCUUCUAAGAAAUGGGGUUCAGACAAUGCAGUGGUAUUAGGCCUUUAAAUCAGCUGAUUUGUAGAUGAUGGACCUGAUAACAUAUAAUCUAACCUAUAGAAUCAAACGUACAGAAAACCAAAGAAAGAGAAAGAAGAAGAGGAAAACAAUAGAGCUACACAAAAAAGAGAGUUAGGGUUUAAACCUAAUAAAUAAAUACAUUAUCAGGCCCAUGCAAUGUCGGAAUGGGAUUCACGCCGACUCCACAUGAAUAAAAAAUGUAAAAGAAUCCCACGCCACCCCUUAUAUAAUUAUCCGUUUUAGAAAUUGCUAAUUACGAGUGUAAAAUUUUUAGUGGGAUUUAUAUUGUACAUAAAAUUCGUAGGAUCUAGGGUGUAUAUACUCGAGCUUCAAAUGGGAUCCAAGCUGUACAUAAGAAUCAUCGAAUUCAAACUUUUCAUACUUGAGCUUCUAGUUGUACUAGAAUUAUUUCUAGAAGUUUCAUGUAAUUUUAAACAAGGACGUCGUGAUUUGUUUUACAAUAAAGUCAUGAGUACGGAAAUUUUUUAAUAGAAGUUAUACUGAUAAUAAUGUGGAUAAAUGUGAAUAGACCAUUUUUUUCUUUUUUUUUUUCCUCUCUUCUAAUCUAAUGAUGUCAUGACAUGUGUUAUCUAUAAGAUUUUUUUGUCAAAAAAAUUUUGUACCUGUAACAUUGUUCUUUGUUUUCAAUGUCCCUUCGGCUCCCACGUGAGAAGGUACUCAAAAGUCCUAUAUGCACGAGUUGAAUUUAUUUUUUGUGUCGUGAUUAAUGAAGGAGUAUACUAAUUAUAGCACUUGUUUGAACUCCAUUUUUCAAUAAUACAUUUUUUCUUGAAAUUUAUUUUCAAUCACAUAUUCUUUUAACAAGAUAAUAUUACACGUAAAUUAAAACUUUUUUCUACUUUUCAACUACAUAUUCACUAAAACUUUACAAUUCCAAAAUCUCUUUUUACGUAAUAAUGGGGCUCCAACAAGGGAAUAAUUGUUACUCCUCAUCCUACGAGACUUCAAUCAUUGACCAUGUGAUAGCUAACUAACAACCCACGUCGACCUUGCACUCUAUGUCACCAAUUUAUUUGGCCUAACCGAGGCCAUUAAACACUAAAUUAACCCUGUAACUAUAUUACAAUCCCUAAUAUUCCCCAAAAAAAAUCUUUAAAAUCUUUGAAAAAAUUCUGAAAAUCAUAGAAAAUCCUUGUAUGUUGCAUUCUUUAAUUGACUAUUCGUAAGUACCAUGCUUCCACUGCAAAGCGAGUGAAUACCCUCAUGAUUUUCUUAAGUCAUUCUCAAAUAACCUAUACUAAAUCUUAACUUGAGAAAUACCUUAUUAUCGUAAAACGUAUAUUGUUCGAUACAUGAUAAACACUAAUGUUCUACUCCACUUGAACGUGAAAGAUGCUUUCUUAACGUGGAGAAGUAAAAAUACAUGAAUUGUUGCUCAUUGUAGUGGUAUAACUUGAUGAUAAGCUAAACUUCUCGCUUUUUUUGAAAGUUUGAAAAUCUCUGUUACCACUUGUAGAGCUCUAAUAACACUUCAAAGGAUCCGAUUAAUGAUUAAGUGUGACCUUACAUGCGAAAUUAAUACAAUUAAAAGCAACAAGUUCCCUUUUAAUUGUUUCCAGAUGGUUAAUCAAAUAGUCUAAUUAUCCUUAGUUGAAUUGUCACAGUUUGUAAUAAGAGAGAGUAAAUAACAUCAGAUAUAUUAACGGAGAAACCCAAUCGGGUAAAAAAUUUGGGGCCAAAUCAGUUAUCUCCACUAUAGGCAAUAUGAAUUUACAUUAGAUGUUGCCUAACCAGACUUCCUGAUCUACUUCUUGUAACCUCCAAGAUCCUAUUGAGAUCACCUGCUCCCAAUCUCCAACAAUUGUCUCUUCGAAGUGGAUAAACAAGAAUGACCAAUUAUUGUACUCUUCUUGCAAUUGUAGUCCAACCUCUCUCAAUCUUUAGCAACUUUUGAAAUUCAAUUGAGAAAGUACCUUCUUGAGGUGUUUAGGAAGUAGGUCUUUUGGAUUCAAUGUUUUUCCCCACAAUCUGUGGUGGUCUAAUCUUAACUUUUUACAACAUUUUGUUUCCGUUCUUUUGUUCACGGAAUUGCGAGUUACAUAAAACCUAACAAACUUCUCAUUUGGCAUUAUAUGACAAAACUAUAUAAUUAAAGUUAAGGUAGUAAGAGCACAUUAUCUAAUCUAUCCAAGCUUUGUUUCUUGCAUUCCUUGUUAAACUUGUUUCUCAAACACCAAAUGUAAAAGUACGUAAUAAAAAAAAUAUAGCAAUAUAGGCACAUGAUGUAGAGCCCCGAAAAAAAAUUAAUUAAUUUAAAUUAUUUUAUUUCAUAUGCUAUAUUUUUUAAAUUUCGAAAAUUUAGGGACAAAAAUGGAAUAGUUUAACUUUGGUUUUAUAUUUAUUAUUUUUUUGCCAAAUGAUCUAGCGAAAAUGCAAUAAUAAUUUGUGCUGAUCCAUAAGUUUGAUUUCUUCAAAAUCACUUCAAAUACGUCUCUAAUACCCACUAAAAUUUGGGUCAUUACAAUACAUUAUACUCUAAUAAUUUCCAUCACUUGUCUGCAUAUUUCUUUAUUAGUCUGGACUGGACAUUUUCUCCAAAAUCCUAUCAACGAGUUACAAUAUAUCAUCUAUUAAGAUUGAACUAAAGGACUCUCACUAUCCAGUAUCCACAUUAUCCCAAUAUAAUGGUUUUUAGCACUUUUUUCCACGUAUGAUUUCGAAUGGCUGGAUUCUGAUCAAAACUCAUCACUUAUCGUUCUAUGAAAAUUUGAUCUUGUUGGUGUGAAAAGUGGAAAGUGCAAGCUCGGAGCAUAUCUUAAGAUUAUUGGAUCAUUUUGUUCCAUUUGCAUAAUAAUUAUACCUAAAUACCUAAUUAUUAUAUGUUCCUAGUCAACCUUCAUAACAAUGGAAAUCUACGUCAUCGUAUUGAUUAUUCUACAUACAAUCUAGAAUAUCGUACAUUCAUAAAAGUAAUUUCUAAUUGUCUGUAGAUUAUACUAUUAUCCAUAUCGCAUCAUUGUCAAUAUCAUUGUAGUGUGUAUUUUGUUCUAUCAAAUGAUUAUACUUGAUAGACCCUUUUAUGCAUUUUUUUCCUUUAGCGAAAAUGUUUGUCUUGUGACCCUCUGCCAAUCAUUGAUAAGUGUAUUUGUAAGGCCAUUAUUCUAGAAUAUUAUGUAUUGAUUUUGAGGAAUUAUUGUUUAAAUUUGUUUAAAAUUCAUUUGUUUGUUAAGCUUGACGCAAAAAUGUGAAAUUGAAAGAAAUGAAUGAAAAUGGGUAAAAGAAAGAAAGAAAAAAAAUCUAAAGUUUAGGGACCAAGUGCAAGCUUUUAAAAGUUAAUAUGGACCAAAUAUCGAUGAUUGAAGAGUGCAGAGAGUCAAUUUGAUGCAAAUGGAAGACUAAGGAUUGUAAUUGCAUAGAAAAAAGUGGAAAAGGGACUAAUCAUGCCCUUCAAAAAGCUUAGGAACUAAUUUAUAAUUGGCCUCGAAAAUCCUUAGGCCAUGUGCAAGGUCCCUUUCUAUAGAGACAGGAACCAAACAAUAACAGUCAUGUGUGGGCAAGGCUAAGACCCAUGCGCACUCAUGGGUCUAAUUUGCGACAGACAGGCCUAUUUAUUUUUUAAGCCUGGCUCUUUAUGGUAACAACUCGUAGCCACUAUUUAACUUAACUUCUUGAGGGAAAGAAUGGACCACACCAUAAUAUAUCAUAAAGAACACAUCUACCAAGAGAUUCAAGGCAAUUAACACGAGGAAUUAGAUAUUCAAGGCUCAGAUUUAAGAUCGAAAAAACCAAGAAAUUGAUUUUUCAUCAAACUUAUAUUGUUCUUUAUUCCUAGUGAUGUCUUUUCAUAAACCUUUGUGUAAGUUAUAUAAAAGUAUGCUAGGCUAAACUCUUUAUUGUAUUGGAUGAAGACGAAACAAUUGGUUGUUUAUCUUUAAUUCAAAGACAAGUAGUUUAACUUGUUUUUGUGUUCUUGAUUAAUCUUGCAUGAAUAAUUUAUUAUUUGAUUGCUUGAUCACUAAUUAAAUAAUUAGUUAUUAGUUAUAGUUUUGAGAGACUCACAAUAAAUUUAGAACACGACAAGGUUAAUAAAAGGAUAAAAGAUGUUAGUAUUAACAUGUAUGACAUGUGAAAUCAUUUAAAUAAUCAUGUAUUUAAUGCAUUACUUUACAUAUGAAUCCAAAGUAGGAAUAUGAUUUGGUCGUACUUAAAUAGGUUUAACUUCCUCUAAAAGAGAUAGUUGAAUAACAUUGGAUUAUGAUUGUCAUAAAUAUAUAAAUAACAUUAAACUACAUAAGUGGAGAAUUGAAAAUAAAAAUCAAUUGGUGGAUUCAUAAAAUUCAUUCCAUAAUUAGUAGACUUGAAGAGGUCCUAAAGGAGUUCAAGUUGCAAUUAGGUUCUAUUUGCGUUUUUGGCAUUUUUGACUCCUAUUUCAUUCCAAAUAUUCUAUUAUUAAUUUUAUCCAUUAUAUUGGGUCUUAACCUUAUAUUAAACUUUUUAUUGUAUUAUAUUCAUAGUACGUUAGGGAUUUUAGUAUUAUAUGUAUGUGACGUACAACACAUGUUAAAUCAAUCCUUACAUUCUGCAUAAUAACUUGUAAUCUUCCAUUAUUUAUAUUAAUAAAAUUCUCAUCUUCUUACCCGUUGUAUAUUUUAUCAUGAGAAUCUUGUGUUAUUGUUUUAGCUAAUUCUCCAAUUAUCAUAUUAUUAUACUCGUUUAAAAUCGUAACAAGUGGUAUCAGAGUGAUACACAAUUCUCGUUAUUUGCAAAAGGGAUAGGAGGAGCAAUUGUAGCAUUCGCCUGCUUUGAGCUCUGCUAUAUGGAUGUUAUGUUUCAAUUGUGUAGGCUAUUCUUUAGGCAAAAGAAUUAUUAUAAAAGAAUUGUAAAAGUCAAAGAGUCUGUUGAGAUGUUAUAUAAAUGAAUUAGGAGUCUUUGGGUUUGACUUUGGAAUAUGAAGAAAGAGUCGGUGGAAUUGCGCUAGCCUGUCACUAAGCUGAUGCUCGAGCGUCCAAAACAGAAUCAUCAUCACCCACCUGUCGACUGACUGUCACUUGCCUGGUGUUAGCCUGCUCUCGAGUGACGGUAUUACAUGUGAAACCCUAGUUCGAAUUUUUCAAGAGUUUUAUUCGGUAUAUACUACCUAAUUAGCUCCUACUAUAAAUACCCAAACCCUAACACGUUUUGUAUGUGGUUGUUCAUUAUAUUACUUUUCCAUAACAUCAUUCCAUGAUCUAAGAACACAUUCAAGCAUUGAGAUUAAUCAUUUGAUUCUUGAAAUCAUUCAACCACGACUUUGGGAAAAUAUCAAAUUCAUGUAAUUCAAUACACCAACUUCCUAUAUACAUACAAGAAUGUAUUUUUUUUAAUAGAUUGCUGAAAAUUGAGAAAGGUUGGACUAGAAGAAUAGGAAGAGUACAAGAAUAAGGUGUUGUUGAUGAUCCACAUGAGAUAGAUGAUUCUAGAAGAUCGAGAACAGUCAUGAAUAAAAUACAUUCGAGCGAGUCUUGAAGAUUGUAGGAAUUAGAUCAGUGAGUCUAGUAGAUUUUCUAGGCUAGAUAUAUUGUCUAUAGUGGAGUUACUGGCUUGGUUUUGGAUUUUUUACCCAGGUGGGUUUUUUCUGUCAACAUAUUUUGUGUUGUUUAUUGUUUUCAUGUAAUUGAUUGUGACAAUCAAAUAAUUGAUUGUGACAUUCAAACCAUAAGAUAAUAUGACGUGAUUGAUUAACCAUUUAGAAACAAUUAAAAAGUGAUUUGUUGCUUUUAAUUUUAAAUUCCGCACGUUGGGUUAAAAUAAAUUGGCUAAAUCUAAACUUUCAAGUAGUUUAAGAGCUUUUUAAGUGGUAUCAAAUCUUUUCAAUAGACAUGGCCAUAUAGGCCUUAUCUGAAAGCCCAAGAACAGCUAAUCAAGAGGAGAUGAAUUGGUUAUCUAAAACCUUUUUCAAAAUAAAUGCAAUUUUAACCAAUUAACAAAUAAGAUAAUAAGCAAUCAAGAUAACAUGAAAAUAACAAGAGAAAGGGAAAAGAAGGUGCAAACGAUAUGUUGUGAAGAUUCGAUUCAAUCAAUGAUAUACGUCCUCCAUUACCAAGCUCAUUGUCACGAGCAAUGCCUUCACUAUAUUUGUUUGAUUUACGAUGCAAUCCAGCCCUUACAACACUUCCGGUGACUUACAACCAAGGAACACUAAUCCUUUUAAAAUGUUGAGCUUUUUGAGACCUCAAUACGACCCACAAUUUAAAAACAAGAAAAACAAAAUUACAAGUGAAAGCUUCAAUCUUAAUAAAUGAUAUGAACACAAUUAAGUAUCAAUAGAGAAGUAGAUAAAGCACUUUAAUACAUUGCAAAGAAUAUAGCUCAAGUAUUGGUUGAAAAACUUUAAUUGAGAUAAAUGAUUUUUGCAAGUUUUGAUCACUCAAUUUUUUUUUCAAGAAUUAAAUGUUUUGGUCUUUUAAAGAUUGAAAACUAAGGUAUAAAAGAUCAAUAAAUGCCUCACUUAAAUGCUCUAAAAUUGGUAUGUCAAUGUGCAAGAAGAGUUGGUUCCAUCCGGACGUCCGGAUGGGCAGAUUUGCCCUCCAAACGUUUUUCCUUCAUGAUGACUUUUAUCUAUAUAGUUAUUUCUCAUAUAUUUUGUAUAGAUAAGUAUUUUUGUAAAUAUAUAAUCCUUAAAAUAGAAAAUGAAGUAGAAGCAAUAAAUUAAGGCUUCGGAGAUGGUGGUUGAGGCAGGAAGCGAGCAUAAAAAUAUGCAAAGAAAGUAGCUUGUUGUGCCUGCAUCUCAGCCUGCCAUUGUUGCAUCUCGACCUAUCAGUCCUAAAUAGUAGUUUGCUAUGCUUGAAUUUGAAGAAGUAGGCUGCCCAAGUUGUCGACGGAUGAGGUGAGCGAAUCGAUGUGCCCAUAGAUGAGAUUAUUUUGCUCUUUGGUGAAUGUGAAAUGACCUCAGAAUGGACGGGAUGCACUGGAGCGGAAAAUGUCAGAAACGAGAGUAGGAGCUUCAGGCUUGUCUUCAAUCUCAUCUUCAACUUCUUCUUUGAAAGCAAGAGUUGAGAGACCGAAGGUAGGGUCAAAUCCUUUCAUGUGUGCUAACCACUAACCAUGGUCUUUUGUGAUUUUCACGCAUUUCAGUGUUUGGAUAUUUUUGGUUUCGGUAGGUCGAAUUGAGACAAAAAUCUCAUCGUCCAAGGAAACAUCAAAGUGCUUAAAAUUUUGGUAAGAAGCAUCUUGUAUGGCAAAGCUUUGACAUAUCAUGAUGAAUGGACCAAUUUCAUGAGAUCUAAUGCAAUAGUAGGAAAAUAUAAUUUUCUACCGACAAGAAAUGAGUCGAGAAUAAAUAGAUCAAAUGUGUUAACUUCAUCACGGUGCCCUUUUCUAGGUAGAAUGACAUGAGCUAUGAUUUUGUGUAGUACCUUGCAUGGAAGAUACAAUUGAUUUGUACUAAUAUUUGUUAUAUUUUCAAAAUCCUUUUCGGUAACUCGACGACAAGCUUCGGUAGGUUAUAACCUUCGAAAGAGGGAUGUGCUUUGUGAAGAAAAAUUUGUGUUUCACAUGGUUCAAGGUUUAAAAUGUCACGAAUUAGUGUUUUGGUGAUGACAAUGUGCUUAUUUUUAAGUAAACAUGAAAUGCUAUCCGAACAAAGAUUUAUAACCAUGUUUUUAUGAAAAUCCUUCAUGAGUCGUGGAUAUGCAUGUUUUCCUAAUGCUGCAAUCGAGACUCAACCCAUAUUUUCAAAAAAUUCUUCUAUAUGAAAUGUGGGAGCUUCAAUGUUAAAAUCAGAAAAAUCGACAUUUUUACUGAUUAAAAUUGGGGAUUUUUCAAAAGGAUUGACCGGUACCUUGGGCUCUAAGUCCAUAUCUUCGUCGAAAGAAGGUAGUGGAGAUUGUCUAAUAGUUUGUUUCACAUGUUUCCCGACAUGUUUGCUAUGUUGAGACCCCGACAUUUUCAAAUUUGGUGAAGUUUUGAAAAGUGGAGAUUAGGGCUCGGUUUAUAGGAGAAAAGGAGGGAUUUUUAAGGAAAAUGUUGAAAUUUUUUGAUUUUGAGAAGUCCAAUCUUAUGUGUGUUUGGAUUAGAUGAAAAGAUUGAAGUUUUUACAGGGAUUAGAGUGAUUUUGAGUGAUUUCAGGGAGAAAUAUGUGAGUGAAAAUGAAAUGAAUGAAGCCACCGUUCGCGUUUUUAAGACUGAAAAGACGUAGAUCCGGACGUUCAGAUUGACAGAGCUUGAGUUUUCUGUCAAACUGGAUAGCUCUUGUCUGGAUUGUCCGAACAAUGUAUAAUUCGUCUGGAUCCGCCAUUUCUUUUUAAAGUAUGGUUAUAAAAUGAGUUUAUCAAAAUUUGCAUAUAACAAUUUUCAUGAUCACAGAAAUUAAACUAAUUCCACUUCAUCUUCAUCAAGAAUUCCUAAACAUCUUCGAAUAUAUGAAAAAUGAUCGUGUGCUAGAGGUUUGGUGAAGAUAUUGGCUAAUUGAUACUCGAUUUUAUAAAUUCCAACAUGAUAUCUCCCUUUGGUGUAUGGUCACAAAGAAAGUGGUGUCGAAUUUCAAAAUGCUUAGUUCGUGAAUGCAAGAGAGGGGAACUUUUAGACAAGUUGAUGGCACUAGUGUUAUCACACAAAACAGGCUCAUGAUCAUUGGAUAAGAGAUAAUCACAAAGAAUUUGUUUCAUCCAAAGUGCUUAUGCACAACAACUUGCGGCCGAAAUGUAUUCCGCCUCAACGAUGGAUAGUGUACCAGAAUUUUGCUUCUUGCUAGAUCAGGACACAAGUGCAAAGCCUAGAAAGUGAUCAUUCUUGCCAGUACUUUUACAAUCUACGUUACAUCCAGCCCAAUCAGCAUCCAAAUAACUAAUUAGGUCAAUGUGAGUACCUCUUGGAUACCAAAGUCCAAGGUUCUAGUUCCACUAAGAUAUCGAAUUUUUUUAUGGCACAUAAAUGUGAUUUAUUAAGAUUAGAUUGAAAUCUAGCACAUAAGCAUACACUAAACAUAAUAUCAGGCCUAUUAGCAGUCAAAUAAAGAAGGGAUCCGAUCAUGCCUCGAUAUUUUGUGACAUCAACCAGAACGCCAUGCUCAUCUUUGUCAAGCUUUAAGGAUGUACUUAUAGGUGUGUUCAUAGGCUUAAGGUCAUACAUAUCAAAUCUUUUGAGCAUGUCUAAAAUGUACUUAUUUUGGUUUAAGAAAAUUUCGUCUUUGUUUGUUUAAUUUGAAGAUCAAAGAAGAAUUUUAAUUCUCCCUUCAUGCCCAUUUCAAAUUGUCAAAUUCUUUGCUCAUACAAUUUGAAAUUUUUUCACAACGACGAAUAUUUGUAGCACUAUAAAUAAUGUUGUCAACAUAAAUUUGGACAAUAAGCAUAUUCUCCUUAUGAAUUUUUAUAAAAAUUUUAGUAUCCACUUUUCCAAUUGAAAAACCAUUUGAAAGAAUAAAUUUGCUCAAAUGUUGUACCAAACUCUUGGAGGUUGUUUCAAACCGUAAAGAGCUUUUCUAAGUUUAUAUACAUAAUCUGGAUACUUGUGAUCUUUAGAAUUAGGAGGUUGCUUAACAAAAACUUCUUCUUGAAUAAAUCCAUUCAAAAAUGUACUUUUAACAUCCAUUUGAUAAAGUGUAAAACCUUUAUAACAUGCACAUGCAAAAAGCAUGUGAAUGGAUUCUAGUAUAGCUAUAGGCGCAAAUGUUUCUUUAAAAUCGAUAUCUUCUUCUUGAUUGUAACCUUGUGCCACUAAUCUAGCCUUGUUGUACAAUUAUUCCAUUUUCAUCUCUUUUGUUUCUAAAAACCCAUUUAGUUCCAAUAAUGGUUUGAUUGUUUGGUUUGGCGACUAAGUUCCAAACAUGAUUUCUUUCCAAUUGAUUUAAUUCUUCUUGUAUCACUAGGAUCCAAAACUUAUCAAACUCGGCUUCUUUGAAAUUUUUAGGUUCGAUUUGAGAUAUAAAUGCAUAACUACUGAGAUGAUUUUAUAAGAAGUUCUAGUAGUGACACCUUUCGAUGGAUCACCUAUGAUAAGCUCCUUAGGAUGAGAUGGAACAAACCUCCAUUCUUUUGGUAAUGGGGGAUCACUUUGUGCCUCGAUUUGUUUUUCUUCAUUCUCUUGAGCAUUUGAUUCCUCAUUUCGUUCUUUAUUAGUUACCUCUUUGUUUUGGUCUUGAAUCUUCAUUUGUGCAAAUGGAGCGUUCAAACCUACAUCAUCAUCAUUACCUUUCUCUCAAUCAAAAGAGUUAGUUUCAUCAAAAGUAACAUGGAUGAAUUCUUCAACUACUAGAGUUUGUUUGUUAAAAACUCUAUAUGCAUUGCUAGUCGAUAAAUAUCCUAGGAAAAUUCCUACAUCGGAUUUUAAAUCAAAUUUUCUCAAAUUAUCUUUUGUAUUCAAAAUAAAACAUUUACAUCCAAAAACUUUGAAAUAACUAAUAUUUGGAAUUCUAUUCUAACAAAGUUCAUAAGGAGUUUUAGUUUUCUUUUUGCUACUAAAACUCUAUUGAUAAUAUAGUAAGCAGGGUUUACGGCUUCGACCCAAAGAUAUUUUGGUAAAUUGUUUUCAUUCAACAUGGUCUUAGCCAUUUCUUGCAAUGAACGAUUCUUCCUCUCUACCACACCAUUUUGUUGAAUAGUUCUAGGAGCCAAAAAAUUAUUUUCAUAUCCAUGUUCAUUAUAAAAGUCAUGAAAACCACCAUUAUCAAAUUCUCCACUGUGAUCACUUCUGAUAGUUGUAAUAGAAUAACAUUUUUCAUUUUCAACUUUCUUACAAAAAUAUUUAAAUGCUUUUAAGGCUUCUUAUUUCAAACUUAAAAAUAUAACCCAAGUAAAUCUUGAAAAAUCACCGAGGCAAUAUGUUUACCUCCUAAGCUAGCCGUUCUAAAAGGUCCAAAAAGAUCCAUGUAGAGAAGUUAUAAUGAUUUUGUAGUUGAAGCAUAAUGUUUAGGCUUGAAGGAAGUUUUCAAAUGUUUUCUAAAUUGACAUGCAUUACAAAUUUUUUCUUUUUCAAAUUUCAAAUUUCAUAAACCUUUUAGAAAACAAAUUUUGGAGAUUUUGGAAAGAAAAUCCAUGCUAACAUGCCCUAAUCCUCUAUGUCAUAGCCAUGAUUCUUCUUUCACGCUAAGUAAACAAUUUUCAUCAUUUUCAAAUUCAAUGAUUAUGAAAGAAACAUCUUUACUUUGGCUUCUUACGAAAAUCUAAGAAUUAAAUUUUAUAUUGUAGCCUUUAUCACAUAAUUGACUAAUAUUUAACACAUUAUGUUUAAGGUUAUCAACAAGUAAAACAUUUUCAAUCGAGGGGAUUAGUGAUUACCUAUGUUUCCAAUUAAGAUAAUUUUACCGUUGGCACUAUCUCUGAAAGUUUCGUGGCCUCCAUUUUUCUCUUUGAAGUUCGAUAGCAAGGAUCUAUCUCCGAUCAUAUGCUUCGAACAAUCACUGUCCAAGAACCGUUUGCUUCUUGUUUUCUUUGGAGCCUACAAGAAUAAUUCAAGUUUUGAUUUUUGGUACUCAUGUAUACUUGGGUCCUUGGUAGUUAGUUUUGAUGGAUUCUCGAAUCCACUUAUACUUGUUUUCAAAAUAUAGCUCCUUUUUAGCUAGGCAAUUAGAGGUUACAUGUCUACUUUUGUUACAAAGACUACUAGUAGUAUUUGAAGCUUUAACAAAUAUAUUUUUGUGGGAUUUUUGUUUUAAAGAGAGUUUAUAUCCAAUUCUCCAUUUAUAGAAAACGCAUUUUUGACUACCGAGCAUUAAAUCAAAAUCGUUCUUACCCUCAGUGAAUUUCUGAAUAAUUUUCGUAUAGUCAUCCAUUUUUCUUUUAAUGCAAUGUUGUCCUUACUACAUAAUUAUGAUUAACAUUUUCUUUUUGCUUUUCCACAAUUUUCUUUAUUUCUUCUUUUAACAAAGAAUUUUUCUUUUUAAGAAUAGCAUGACUCAAGGCACGUUUUUCAAAAUUUUUAAGUAUUUCAUCAUAUAAUUUGAAACCUCAUCAUAAAAACAUUUUUCAUUAAACAUACCUCGUCUUCGAUUGCCAUGAAGCACAUAUUUACCACUUUGUCUUGACUAUCGUUCCAAUUUUGUUCUUUAUCAUCGCUAUCAUCCCAUGUGACUUAAGUGCCUUUUUUCUUGAAAUUUCUCUUUUCGUUUGGGCACUCGGUUCUCUUGUGGCCCGAUUUAUUACAAUCAUAGCAAAUAAUUUUUUUGCUUUCUAUCUUCGCCCUUUUCCUCCUUUUUUUGAAAUAUUCAAUUAUUACGAAGACCUCUCCAUUUCUUUUCAUACAGUUUCUCCGGGGUGUAUUCUAAGGUUGGGAGUUUAAACAAUUCUAAUCCUUACCCUCUCUUAGUUUGGAUAGAGUUUGCCAUUACAAGUUCACAUAUCAACAAGUAGAGACUCUCCUUAUUUUGAUUGCUUCAACCCUUAGGAUUAAACUAAGCUACUUGCUUCGCAUUUAGGUUAUAGUUCUAUCAACCAAAUGUCCAACGAGGGCUUUUAUUUAUUUAUUUUUUUUUUGUGUCAUCUUCUCAUUUGCUUUCUAUAUAACCCAUGUAACGAGCUUUAGGCGAUGACUCCCAAACCAGUUGGCUUUAGGGCACCGGGUUUUAAACCCUUGCAGUCUUAUUCACUCGACUUAUAAAGGCUCGAUAGGAUGACUUUUUAUCAACUCUCCUUUUUUAUUGUUUUCUAUAUGACCCAUGUAACGAACUUUAGGCCGAUGACUCCCAAACCAGUUGGUAUUAGGGCAUCAGGUCUUAAACCCUUACAGACUUACUUGCUCGAGUCAUAAAGGCUUUUUGAGAGAAGUGAUAAAUUUCCACUUUUUACUUUAUGCCCCUUCUUUGUUUUUCUAGACAUUUGACUUCUAAAAUCAUCCUCACUUAAAGCUUUCACCUAUUUUUCACCUUCCGGGUUUAAACAAUCCACACAUUAUAAUUUCAUGCAUGGAGCCCCCACUUAUCUCCAUGUUUUCCUACAAUAGUUCAAUCAUCUCCAGACUAUCUUAAAGUGAUAUUACGGGUUAAUGUUAUAGAGGGUUAUUCUAGGUUUCUCCUAAUUUAUUCUAAAAAUUCCAAUCAAUAACUUAACACGUGACAUGAGUGGCGUGCAAAAGAGUGUCAAGCAAUGCAUCAACAAGUAUUAGCAAAUUAAAUCUUGCACUAAAUCCACAGUUUCUAGCUUAUACAUAUCCAAUAAUCACAUCAUAGCCGGCAAGGCUACCAAACCCACACAAGCAUGCAAACGUUCAUAAAGAUUCACUCAUCAAGCAUGCAUCAUGCAAAAACCUGUCAAACUUAAUGAUGGAUUGUGAAUAUGCAAAAUAAUUACAUGCCGAAUAUUUGUUUGAAAUUAUGCUACCAUCCCCCAAACUUAUACAAUACAUUGUCCUCAAUGUAAAAUGUAAAGUUAAAAUGACAGAAUUUAAAAUAUGGACACAACUUGGCAAUAAGAGAUUAAUAAAACUCCCCUGAUCAAUGCGGUGGCUGUGGUAUGAAGCUGGGACCCGCAGCAUCAUCUUCAGGAGGAGGCGGGAGGCAAGAUAGGACUUGUCUCAGCAACUCGGACUACUGUGCUUGCUCGGCCUGAAUGGCUUGAAGACUACUUUCCAUAUUUCCCAAGUGAUCCCAAGUCUCGUUCACAUGCCACUGUAUGUCAUCCAUUCUCCCAGCGUACAUGUUCAACCUACCAUUCAUAGUCUCUACUUCCCUUCUCGCAGCUGUGGCUUCAUUCAAAGCACCUCUUGUGUAGUCUCGAGAGGAGUAGAGGUCUCUCUGCACUUUUUCAACAGUGGUGGUCAUUGUCUCGAACCUCUGCUGGAGGUUUUGUAUGUCUCUGCUUGUUCCAGUGGCUGUGGCAAAUAUCUGUCGAAGUAGCUACGAAUCCAUCUCAACUGGUUGUGGCGGGGCUUGUGGUAAGUGUAAAUCUUCAGCAGCUUGUCCUUCUUCCUGCGCAUUUUGUCUUUGCUGCUCAAGUCUUUCUUGUUCUCUCUUCCUUACCCUAACUUGUUCCUGAGCUUCAAAUGUGGUGAGCUUUAUCAAUGGGCUUGAUUUCUCAGGCAUCUCCCCUGCCUCAAUUGUAACACCAACAUCAAGACAUAUCCCACUACUCAGACUAGGGAAAAUCAUCGAAGACCGCCUAUCUCCCCAGGUUCCCAAAUUUUGUAUCUGGUUAAAAAUAAGAGUAGCCAAAUCAACUUUGCAUCCCCGAACUAGAUGAUAUAUGAACCCAGCAGUUUGAUUCGUGAAAGUUGUCCGAUGUGAUGUGGGUUCGAUGUUAUGGCACAUGAAGACCCAAAUGAUGGCUAUGGAGGGAGUAAGCUCAAUUUGAUGCCACUCUGCAGGGGGUAUGGGCCAAGCAUUUUCUCUUCCCAAGAGAAUCUCCUCCACUUCAUUCCAAUUGAAUUAAGUGGGAAUUGGGACCACAUUGUCCAAAUUAAGAUUGUAGAAGUCAUGAAUGACGGCUGGGGAGAACAUUAUCCACUUACCUCGCACCCAUGUCUGGUGUAAGUGUUCAGAACCCGGAGUCUCAAUUUCACUAUUGAAGUUUGCAUAAAAUUCACGGACUAAACUUUCAUAAACCGGGUGUAGCUUUUCUACAAUCUUCUCCCAUCCACAAUUUUGUAUCAGAUUUGGCAACUCAAAACCACGGAAAUCAUCUAACCGGACCUGUCUCUCUGAUAUCAUGCCCCAAUGGCGUAUUAUGUUCUCAUAUCGAGCUAAUGUUUCGGCAUCACGGAAUCUUCGCACACCUCCUAUUAGCUCUCUGGUGCGGGCUGUGCCGGAGGAGGAACCGACUUUUUCUUUACCUUUUGAUGUUCUCUUCGACGGCAUCCUACACAAAUAAGGAACGAAGUGUAUCAAGAUCGUGAAAUAAGGAAACGAUGAAGAAUAUCAAUGUCAAGCACAAAUCCCCCAAACUUUCUUCAAAAUAUGUGCAAUAUUCAACGCAUGGAAUUCAAUGUAACAUCAAUAUUGAAUUAAUGAGAAAAACUCAAAAUUAUGGCUCUAACAUGCAUUUUUUUGAAAAUUCGACCCAUGAUCAAGUGACCAACUUCAGCCCCGAGCAUCAUCGAGAAAUAUUAAAAUUUCCCCAAACAAGGUCCUGGCAUAUGAAAGUACUCAUUUUGGCCUAGCAUGUACCCAAAUUUCACUACAAUCGGAGGUCGUUUGGUUAGGAAAACACAUGGACGAAUUUAGUGACGAGGGUUGACAUGACUUAGCAAUUUAUGUGGUUUUGUGCACAUAUAUGUGAGGCUAACGUUUUCCAAUUAAAUUCCAAGAUAUUUCUCGACUAGUAUGCCUCACAUUAACAGUGUAAAUCAUCACACAAAUGAAAAGUUCAAAAUUUAGAAUCAUAUGUCUCUUUGACAUUUAAUCGAACACGUUGUGUGCAUUGGAAAUUUCCUUCACUUUGUUUUUGAUUUACACUUAGGGCUAGUCCACAAUUCACAAUUCAAUCACAAUUCAACAUUUUACCCAAUUCGAAAAUGGCAAUAACAUCAAAGAAUAGCUUCAUACUUUGCAUAGAAAGUAAAUUUCGUACCUUGAGAUCUUUGUGAAAGGAAAGUGGAACCUUUACUCCAAAAUUCUUGAGAAUUUAUACCAAUGAUGUGAGUAGUGUAGUAUGGUGUCGGGAUUAGAUAAGUGUGUUGUGAUUUAUGUUAUGUGUGAAGGUGGAAUUUGGGAUGAGAAAUUCGUGUGCUGAUUGAUAUUGGGGGAAAUGGGUUGGUUUAGCAAGUGACGGGUUUAAAACCCGUCACUUUUACUCCAUGUGGCCGCAUGGUGUUACACCAUGCGACCGCAUGGUGUAAUUGGUCUUCCCCCACUUAACUUCGGUUAGGGUCCAUGCGGCCGCAUGGACAAAAUCCAAAAUUUUUUAUUUUUUUUAUAUUAAAAACAAACUUAUAAUUUUAACCCCCAACACACCAUAAAUUUUAAAAAAUUUCCCUACAUUGGUUUUCAAAUUCAAAAUUGACUCGACUCUACAUAUUUCAAUUUUUUUUUUUUUUUGAAAAAAACAUCUCGAAAAAUAAAACGAAUGACUUUGAACCCUGAAAUUCUUUACUUCACACUCAAACACCCAAAACAUUUUCUUUAACCCCGACUCAUGCAACUAUAAACGUGUAGUGCCUAGACUAUCAUGCGUGAAUGAUCGAUGACCUAAUAAAACAUACGAAAUGUAAACAAAUUCCAAAAUAAAUGCAAGAAUAUAAAUUGAAGGAUACAGUGGGUUGCCUCCCACCCAGCGCUAGUUUAUAGUCGAUAGCUCGACUUUCCUGCAUCUUCUUCAUAUUGGGUUGUUGAGUUGCAAAGUGGACUUCUGCUUAGGGAAAUUACAGCCCCAAUAGUGUUUCAAUCUUUGCCCAUUGACGAUGAAAGUACCUUUGGUCUCGUGACUCACUUCAAUAGCCCCGUAUUGCAUUACCUUAGUUAUGAUAUAGGGACCCGACCACCUUGUUCUUAGCUUUCCUGGGAAGAGUUUGAGUCUAGAAUUGUACAAUAAUACUUUCUGCCCAACUUCAAACUCUCGCCUCUGAAUAUUUAAAUCAUGCCAUCUCUUGGUGCGCUCUUUGAUCAACUUUGAGUUCUCGUAAGCUUCCAUUCUCAUCUCAUCCAAUUCAUUAAGUUGCAGCAGUCGUUUUUCACCAGCAGCCUUGAGAUCCAUAUUCAACUGUUUCAUAGCCCAAUAUGCUCGAUGCUCCAACUCCAAUGGUAGAUGACAAGCUUUCCCAAAAAUCAGGCGGUAUGGAGACAUUCCUAUUGGUGUCUUAAAUGCUAUUUUGUAAGCCCACAGUGCAUCGUCAAGCUUCUUAGACCAAUCUUUUCGGGAUGAGUUCACUGUAACUUCCAGUAUUCUCUUUAACUGCCUGUUCGAAACUUCAACUUGCCCAUUGGUCUGUGGAUGAUAUGGAGUUGCUACUUCAUGUUUCACCCCAUAUUUGUUCAACUGCUGCUCUAAUUGACGAUUUAUGAAGUGUUUGCCCCCAUCACUUAUUAUUGCCCUUGGUGUACCAUAUCUUGUAAAUAUGUACUUCUCAAGAACUCUAUCACCACUUUCGCGUCGUUAGUAGGCAAUGCAAUAGCUUCCACCCACUUAGAGACAUAGUCAAUGGCCAUCAAGAUAUAUUGAUUUGAGUACGACGGGGGAAAAGGUCCCAUGAAGUCUAUUCCCCAUACAUCAAAUAUUUCAACCUCCAAGAUGUAAUUUAGUGGCAUCUCAUUUCUUAUUGAGAUAUUUCCGGUUUGUUGAUAUUUAUCGCAUCUCUUCACAUACUCGAAUGUGUCUCUGAAUAAAGUAGGCCAGUAGAAACCCGACUGUAGUAUCUUUGCAGCAGUCUUUGAAGCUCCAAAAUGCCCAGCAUAUGCAGAAGAGUGACAAUGUUCUAGAAUCUUAGGUACUUCAUCUUCAAGAAUACAUCUUCUGAUUAUCUGAUCUGCGCCUCUUCUGUAGAGAAUGGGAUUCUCCCAAAAGUAAUACUUCAGCUCUGUGAAGAACUUCUUUCUUUGAUGGCAAGAAUAGUCUGGUGGUGGGAUGGACUUAGCAAGGUAGUUAACGAUAUCAGCGUACCAUGGGAUUAUUUCUACCCCAAAAAUUUGCUCAUCUGGAAAGAUUUCAUUGAUGUCAACUGACAUCUCAGGUUCAUCCCGUUCCAAUCUUGAUAGGUGGUCGGCUACCACAUUUUCACUGCCCUUCUUAUCCUUGAUCUCAAUAUCGAACUCUUGCAACAACAAUAUCCAACGGAUCAAUCUCGGCUUAGCAUCCUUCUUUGUCAUAAGAUACUUCAGAGCGGCAUGAUCUGCGUAGACGAUAACCUUAGACCCAACAAGAUACGAUCUGAACUUGUCGAAUGCAUAAAGCACAGCUAGCAAUUCCUUCUUGAUCGUAGCAUAGUUGAUUUGGGCGUCGUUCAAAGUUCUACUUGCAUAGUAUAUCACAUGAAAGAUUUUAUUCUUUCUUUGUCCCAAUACCGCACCAACUACAUGAUCACUCGCAUCGCACAUUAGCUCAAAGGGCAAAUCCCAAUCAGGUGACACAAUCACAGGCGUUGUUGUGAGUUUUUCCUUCAAAGUAUUGAACGCUAUCAAACAUUCCUCAUCAAACUCAAAAGAUACCUCUUUCAUUAGCAAGUUGGACAGAGGCUUUGUGAUUUUGGAGAAGUCCUUUAUAAUCCUCCUGUAAAACCCUACAUGCCCAAGGAAACUUCGAACUCCUUUUACUGAUAUAGGUGGUGGUAAUUUCUCAAUUACCUGAAUUUUCACCUUAUCCACUUCUAUCCCGUUUGCCGAUACUCUAUGUCCCAAGACUAUUCCCUCUUGAACCAUGAAAUGACAUUUCUCCUAGUUCAAUACUAAGUUCGUUUCUCUGCAUCUUUGCAAAACCAAAUUUAAGUGAUCCAAGCACUCAUCAAAUGAGGUCCCAAAGACCGAGAAGUCAUCCAUGAAGGUUUCAAUGAAUUUCUCUACCAUAUCUGAGAAAAUUGCCAUCAUGCAUCGCUGAAAUGUGGCAGGAGCGUUGCAAAGUCCAAAUGGCAUUCUUCGAUAUGCAAAGGUACCAUAGGGGCAUGUGAAGGUGGUCUUCUCUUGAUCAUCCGGUGCCACUGGUAUCUGAUUAUAACCCGAAUACCCAUCCAGAAAGCAGUAGUGGGAAUGGCCUGCCAAUCUCUCCAACAUCUGAUCUAUAAACGGAAGAGAGAAAUGAUCUUUCCUUGUAGCAGUAUUUAGUUUGCGGUAAUCAAUGCAAACUUUCCACCCUGUUACCAUCCUUGUUAGAAUCAACUCAUUCUUUUCAUUCUGAACCACAGUAAUUCCUCCUUUCUUGGGCACAACUUGCACUGGACUAGUCCAUUUACUAUCUGAUAUCAGGUAGAUUAUUCCAGCAUCCAGAAGUUUGAUCACCUCAGCUCUUACUACCUCCUUCAUGUUUGGGUUUAGCCUUCUUUGACUUUCAACUGUUGGUCGAAAAUUCUCCUCCAUGAGAAUUUUAUGCAUACAUAAUGAAGGGCUGAUCCCUUUGAUAUCAGCUAUGGUCCAUCCAAUUGCUUGCUUGUUAUCUCGAAGCACCCUAAGCAAUUUUUCCUCCUCCACUUCACUAACCAUGUUUGAAAUUAUCACUGGAAGUGUAUUGGACUCCCCCAAAUAUGCAUAUCUUAAGUGUGGGGGCAGCUGCUUAAGGUCCAACUUUGGUGGUUUCAGAAUAGAUGGCUGUGAUUUCUCUGGCCCUAUCCCAAGCUCCUCAAAGUAUCAUUUUGUAAGGUGGCUUGGACUCCAAAAAUCUUGCACACAUUUCUAUGUCUUCAGAAUCAGAAUUCAUGGAUUUAGAAUGUGCAAUGCAGGCCUCCAAUACAUCUGAUGGGUUUUGCAGUGUAAAUGACUCUUCAAUCAUUUUAUCAAUCAUGUCAACCCUGAAACAUCUGUCAGUCUCUAUUGGCAGUUUCAUGGCCUUGAAGACAUUGAAUGAAACCUGUUCUUCUCCCAAUCUCAAUAUCAACUGCCCAUUCUGAACAUCGAUCAAAGCUCUGUCUGUAGCUAAGAAUGGUCUGCCCAUUAUUAAAGGAACAUAUUUAUCUUCUACCAUAUCCAGAAUCAGAAAGUCUGCUAGGAAUGUGAACUUCUCCACUUUAACCAACACGUCUUCAAUUACUCCUCAUGGAUGUGUUAAUGAUCUGUCAGCCAGCUGUAAGGUCACCGUGGUAGCUUUAGCUUCUCCCAAUCCUAAUUUCCUGAAAAUAGACAAUGGCAUUAAGUUAAUACUUGCACCAAGAUCACAUAAAGCUUUAUCAAAAUAAAAUUCACCAAUGGUACAAGGGACAGUGAAACUCCCUGGAUCUUUCAAUUUUGACAGGAGCUUUCUCUGAAUCCUGGCACUGCACUCCUAUGUUAGCAUAACUGUCUCGUGAUCUCCUAGCUUCCUUUUGUUUGAUAGGAUGUCUUUCAGGAAUUUUACAUAGCUAGGCAUCUGAACCAGUGCUUCAGCGAAUGAGAUGUUGAUAUGGAGCUUCUUGAAGACCUCGAGAAACUUCUUGUAUAACUGUUCCGUCUUUUGCUUCUUCAGCCUCUGUGGGAACGGUAUGGGUGGCUCAUAGGGGUUCACAGCUACAGUCUCUUUAUCCCUUGAGUUUCCUUUAUUUGCUUUCGGUGUUGACUCUUCUGUCUGUUCUUCUUGCUCCAAAAUCUCUUCUACUUCAGGAGACACCUCUUCUCUGUUUGCCACGGGAUUAUUCACUUGUCUCUCAGGCAAUUCCACUCCACUUCUCGUUGUUAUAGCCUUUGCAUGCUCUUUCGGAUUGAAUUAUGUGUUACUUGGCAGGCUGCCUGGUGCUCUACCUGUUAAUGCAACUGCCAUCUGUCCUAUCUGAGUUUCCAAAUUCUUAAUGGCUGCAUUUUGGUCCUGAAGAAUGGCUUCUGUCUUCUUCAUGAAUUGGUUGUUCGCCUCCAUAUAUUGGUUGGUCUGUUCUAUGAAUUUGCCGAACAUUUCUUCUAAUUGAGGCUUCUUCUAUUGCUGUUGGUAUUGCCCUUGUGGCCUGCUCUGAUUUUGGUUGCUCCAAGAAAAGUUGGGGUGCUUUUUCCAGCUUGGGUUGAAGGUCUCUCCAUACACAUUAUUCUACUGGCGUUGUCCCCAUUGAGCAAAAUCUGUGUGCUCUUUUCCUUGUGUCAAAAUUGGGCAUUCUGCUGUCACAUGCUCAGCUCCACAUUCCUCACAAUUUGCCUUCUUUGUCUGCGUUGCGUUAGCUGACUGGGUAAUAUUUUCCACCUUGUGAAAUAAGGAAUCAAUCUUAGCAGAUAACGCUGAGUAUACAUCCACUUUAUAAACUCCUGGUGUCUUCUUUGGUACUGCUCGUUCCAUGGUCCACAUUGUUGAGGUUGUAGCCAUUGUCUCAUAUAACUUCAAUGCUUCAUCAAUUAUUUUUGUGGACAAUGACCCAUUAGCUGAAGAGUCGACCAUGCUCUUGAAAGCUGGAAGUAGCCCUGCAUAAAAAUAUUGGACCUGAAGUCCCUUGCUAAUCCCGUGGUGCGGACACUUCCUUAGUAGAUUUUUGAAUUUGUUCCAAGCCUCAUCAAAAUUUUCAGAUUCACCUUGCCUGAAGAUAGAUAUGUCAUGCUUUAGCUUUGCAAUCUUGGCCGGUGGGAAGAACUUAGUACAGAACUUCUGAGCUAGGUCAUUCCAAGUAGUAAUGCUGGCUAUCGGCUGAGAAUCAAGCCAUUCAAUCGCCUUGUCCCGCAAAGUAUGUGGAAACAGUCUUAAUCUUAUGGCGUCGUCAGAGAUUCCUUGAUAUCUGAAGUGCUGGCACAUCUCUAAGAAGCGCGAGACAUGCGUGUGCGGGUUCUCUUCCACUCUUCCAUAAAACUGAUGUCCGUUCUAGAACAGUUGUAUUACAUUUGUCUUCAACUGGAAAUUUGGCUGCUCGAACGGUGGAUACACAAUGCUAGACUGGCUUUGAAUGAUUUGAGGGGUCAUGAACUCUCCAUCGAGCAUGUUUCCUUCGUCUUCUUCCCCUCUUUCAUUGGCUUGUACAACAGGAUUGUGUUGUACGUUCUCCAUCUAAUUUCUUGCUGCUCUGUUUUUUCUCUGCCUUCUUCUGAAGCUUCGUUCGAUCUCUGGGUCAGCUGGAAGUAGAUCUCCUUCAGCAGAUCUUGGCAUGCACUUCUGCAAUAGAAUUCAAUUUAAGGAUCUAAGUAACUAAAAUAUGCACUUAUGUAAUAAAACUAACUAACAAUAAAAUAAAAUGAACUAAAAUAAAUUAAAAAUAAAAAGUUCUAAUUAGUGCUAAAUUGAAUAAAAUUAAAUGAAUACUCAAUCCCCGGCAACGGCGCCAAAAACUUGUUCACGAAAUAAUUCUUUCGAUUUAAAACUAUCGCAAGUGUACGAUUCAUAACAAGUAAUAAAGUGGAUUUUAAAAGUCCGAAUAUCGUCCAUCAGAGAUUGAGUAGUUCAAUUCUAUAUAAUCUAGCCUUAACCGAAUCUAAUUGAGUGGAAAUAUGGCCUAAAUGCAAAAAAGCCCUAAUUUCAAUUAAAACCCCUAAUUUCAACUAAACACCCUAAUUUCAAUUGAAAACCCUAGUUUCAAUAAAAAACCCUAAUUUCUCAAUUAGAAACCCUAAUUUCGAAAUUUCUCUAAUUAAACAACUUAAACACUCAAGUAAAUAAAAUUAAGCAAGUUUAAAAGCUAAUUUAUUAAAAUGAAUCAAACUAAAGUCACUAGAAUCAUGAAUCCCCAAUUGAAGUUAUAAAAACCCUAAUUUCAUAAAAUUAAUGAUUCGAUGAAAAUAUGCCAAUCCAAUGUUCCUAAUUCUAUCCAAUAUACUCUCUCGAUAUAUAUUAUAUCUAUUCUUCCACACCACCAGCCUAUAUCUCUUUGAAUGAUGCAAACAUAUAAGAAUGCAUGUAGUUUUGUGAACAAUUUAAGAAUUGCAUAAAGUAUAGGGGCAUAUCUCUAUCCCCUAUCGGACCCUAUGUUAAUUUACACCUUAUCGAACCUAUUCCACUUCUCUCGAAUGUAAGAAAUAAGUCAUCAACACUCACACAAUUAUUGGCCACUAAUUGCGGAAGAAAAUUAAUGCUUGUAAAUCAAUCAAAUUAUCCAAACGAGUCUUUAUAUUAAAUUCAUGAAAUAUAGAAUUAAAAUAACAAACAACGGUUCAUCGAUCAUCUAGUAAUUGAAAACCUAGCCUAGAAGAUUCAUAAUUACAGAAAACAAUACGAAAUUAAUGAAUGAAAGAAUAACACCCGUAUGAAAGUUCUUGAAAUCUGAAAUCUUGAACAAAACCUUGAAAACCCCUUUGAAUCCUUGUGAAAUCCGCUUCAAGUUCGUGUUCCUUGCCUCCAAAAGUUGUAUUCUUCUUUCCCUGGACGUUCUGCCCUAUUUCUGAUGAAUUUUGGCUUUUAUAUCAUGUCCUCACAGAGCCCCGAAAGAGUUUUAAUUAAAAACGGAAGUUCAGAAUUUUUUAUCGAAUUUAAAGCCAUGCGGCCACAUGGUGUUAAACCAUGCGACCGCAUGGUUCAAAUUUUCAGCCCAAAAAGAUCCCUGUUAUAUCAUGUGCGGCCGCAUGGUUAUAGAAAUUUUUCCGUCGGACAAUUUUCAGUAUUUUGGUCAUAACUUUCUCUCCCGAUCUCCGAUUGAAGUGAUUCAAAGUGCAUUGGGAAGAAAACUCAAAGAUGUACAUUUUGAUAGAAAUAGGCUUCCUCAAAUUCUGAUGUUUACUAUGCCAAAAAUGGAUCUCAAGUAGAGACUCAAAAUCACGAGCAUAACUUUUUCGCCUGAAAGUUGAUACUUGAUAAUACUUCGACCAUAUUUCACCUCUUGACUCCUUUCCUCAUCCAAUUGACCUCUAACACUCUUGAAUCUUCAUUCCAUUUCCCGUCUCAUCUAUGGAUUAUUUGCAACUUGGUCCCCGAACUAUCGCUUUGCUCCGUUUUGGUCCUUUUUCGGCUCUUUUCUUCUGAAUUCCAUCUUUCCCAUAGAAACACCUACAUUGCAUGAAUUUAACAAGAUUAAGUCACAAUUUAACUAUUUUGUCCAUGUUUAAGUCAUAUUUGUGAGCUAAAUAAGUGUGUAAAAACACACUUAUCAAUGUACAUAAGGAAAAAUAAUAAAAUUCGCAGCUCAAAUAUUUUGGGCAAAUCUGAACCUUCCCUAUUAGUCCAGACUGACUACCGAAAAAUCUGUAACCUUUUUUUUCAUGAUUUCGACAAAUUAUUUUUCAAUUAUGGCAAUUAAAAAGAAACAAUUAUUUUGAGCAAACAAAUAAAUAAAUUUUGUAAAAAUAUGACGUAUUUUUCAACAAUCUUCCCUUUUGGCUUUGCUUAAUUUUGAAAACCAGUAUUAGAUUUUUCAUGUCAUGUAUCAUGAUUUUGAUCAAUCAAUUCUCAUAGACUAUUCCCUUAGUCAGUUCUCAUCACACACCAAGCUUCCCCCAAACUCAAGCAUCCUAACGCUCAUAUUUUUACUAUCACCACUUCACCAUUAUCACAAAAUCAAAAUCCACUACUCCAUCUUUUUUUAAAUUAACAACACACUUAAUAAAAUGAAUCAAAUAGUUAGGAAGCAAUAGUUAGAUCAAAGAGUUAGAGUCAGAAUGAUAGAACUGAUCAAUUUGUGAACUUCUUAGCCCAUCAUAAGUAGUCCUGUAAUGGCCCGGGUCAGAACUGGGAUAGCCAAUACUCCUUAUGCACUGCCAAAAGGAGCAGGCGGCUUGUUCUAACUAUCUGGCUCAGUUUCGCGUGCUUCAUCAUAUUAUAUCUUCUUUUCUUUGGGGAUUUUGGUCCUUGCCAUUGAUAGCCUUCGAAAAACAACUUGAAAACACAACCCAGAUCAAGAACAAUAAGCAAGAGCAGCUGUAAAACGUAAAGACUUGAAAUCUCAGUUGUAUGGGUUCAAAUAAAUAACUGCUAUACUUUCCAGAAUGAUCCCUUUUUUGUUACUUUCUCAAUUCUAAUCACAAAAUAUGGUGGAACCGACCCUUCAUAUUUGAUCAAGAUGUAGUUUCCACUUUUCAAAAUCUCUUGCGUCAAACUUUUCUCUUUUAGCUGUGAAUACUUAAUUUUAUUGUCGGGUUUUAACUGUUGACCAAAAAAUCUGCGAAAAUCCCAUACAUGUCAAUCUCACAGUAUAAUUAAAAUUCCAAAUUGAAAUUAAGACUAAUUUAAUAUUUUUGAACAAAUUUCAUAGACAAAUCAAUUUCACAGUCAGUUGAAAAUUAUCAUAAUAAUCAUGUAAUUUUCAUUCAGAUGUUUAUUCACAAUUAAUUCAAUUAAUUUUUCAGAUUAAGAUAUGAGGGUGUGAUAGGAUAUCUAGACUAAUCAAUUAUAAAUCAUGUCUUAUCUAGGGUUGACACUUGAAGUGAUAGUAUACAAAAAUGUAUUUCAAACCAGCUAUCAUCUUAAAUUGCCUUUGUAAAUAUAUAUAUGAAAAUAUGAGUAUGGCCGGUUUGAGCAUGCAUAUAAAUUUUUAAGUUUCUUUUGAAUGCUCAUGUUUUAACUCUUUCUAAUUUUCUUUUAAUACACGCUCUUUUUAAUUCAUAGAGUUUAAUAUUACAUAGCUAUAAGGGUAGCUUCUUUCUCCUGACUUAUGUUUAUUAGCAAGAAUGACUUCACACACCAAUGGUGGUAGUCAUCUCCUCCAUUGAACUGGCUUAUUAACAAAACAUCAUAUUGUAGUAUGGAGAGACAUAGAUGCUGACCAUAUGUCUGCACUCAAAAACUUGUCACCUUAAGAUGACAACAUACUCGGUAAAUGGUCACAAUUGAAUUGGUCACAAUGCCCUGAAAGUACUCAACUGAAAAUAAUUUACCAUAAGCUAUAAUGAGCACAUCAUACUGGUUGGAAAAUCCGUUUUUAUCUCAACAAUUGCAAACCAGUUAGAAAUUCACAUCUUGUGACAUUUGCAAGCAAAGUCCCAUUUGUUUUUAUACUUCAUAAUUUUUAUACAACAAAUGUAAAACAAAUGCACCCAAAGUAAACACACAAAAGAUAAUAAAAGAUAUGUAUAUCAAACUGGUUUAAUGCAUCAUGCAUAUGCAUACGAUUUUUCACAGUAUUUCAAAUCUAGCAUUAUCUAAAGCCUUGAUGAAUAAAUUAUCCAGUUAUCAUUCAAUAUUAAUGUGUUCUAAGAUAAUUACAUUUUUCUUAAUGAAGUCCCGGAUAAAGUGGUGUCUAAUGUCAAUAUGCUUAGUUCUAGAAUGUUAAAUAGGAUUCUUAGAGAGAUUAAUUACAUCGAUGUGAUCACAAAACAUGGUAAUAGAGUCUUGAUCAAUACAAUAGUCAUUGAGCAUCUCCUUCAUCCCGAGUAGCUAUGUGUAGUAACUAACGACAUCAAUAUACUCAUCUUUUAUAAUUGACAAGGAUUUAGAGGUUUUUUUAUUUUUUAUUUUUAUUUUUAUUUUUAUUUUUUUUGAACUUAGCCAAUGUAUAAGGUUAUUACUUAUGUAGAAACAACCUCUAUGCUUUUCUACCAUCUAUGUUUCUAAUCCAAUCGACAUCUGUAUAUCCUGCAAGAUGAGGAUUUAUCUCUUUAGUGUACCAUAAGCUAAAGAUGGAAAUGCUAUUGACAUAUCUAAUCACUUGUUUACAAGCUGUCAACUAAGACUCAAUUUGCUUGGCUUGAUAUCUUGCACAGACGUCAAAAUUGAAGCCUAUGUUAGGAUAUCUUGCAAUCAAAUACAAUAAGCUGCCAAUCAUGCUCCUGUAUAAACUAUGGCAACGUCCUUGCACUGGUAAUCUCGGCAGAGCUUUAAGGACAUAGCCAUGGGAGUCCUGACUGCUUUGGUAUUCUACAGACCAAAUUUAUUCACAAGAUUCUUUGCGUACUUAGCCUAUAAAAU
rnacentral:lncRNA from 1 species